UACGGAGGGGGCUAGCGUUGUUCGGAAUUACUGGGCGUAAAGCGCGCGUAGGCGGACCUGCAAGUCGGGGGUGAAAGCCCGAGGCUCAACCUCGGAACUGCCUUCGAUACUGCGGGUCUCGAGUCCGGAAGAGGUGAGUGGAAUUCCUAGUGUAGAGGUGAAAUUCGUAGAUAUUAGGAAGAACACCAGUGGCGAAGGCGGCUCACUGGCUCGGUACUGACGCUGAGGCGCGAAAGCGUGGGGAGCAAACAGG
rnacentral:rRNA from 1 species